rnacentral:rRNA from 1 species
GAUGAACGCUGGCGGCGUGCCUAAUACAUGCAAGUCGAGCGAACAGACGAGGAGCUUGCUCCUCUGUCGUUAGCGGCGGACGGGUGAGUAACACGUGGAUAACCUACCUAUAAGACUGGGAUAACUUCGGGAAACCGGCGCUAAUCCCGGAUAAUAUAUUGAACCGCAUGGUUCAAUAGUGAAAGACGGUUUUGGUGUAUCUUAUAGAUGGAUCCGCGCCGCAUGAGCUAGUUGGGAAGGUAACGGCUUACCAAGGCAACGAUGCGUAGCCGACCGGCGAGGGUGAUCGCCGACACUGGAAGGUAGACAGGGUCCAUGGUCCUACGAGAGGCAGCAGUAGGGAAUGUGCCGCAAUGGGCGAAAACCUGACGGAGCGACGCGGCGUGAGUGAUGAAGGUCCUCGGAGCGUAAAGCUCGGUUAUUAGGGAAGAACAAAUGUGGAAGUAACUAUGCACGUAUUGACGGUACCUAAUCAGAAAGCCACGGCUAACUACGUG